rnacentral:tRNA from 1 species
CGGAGCGUAGCUCAGCCUGGUAGAGCACUGCUUUCGGGAGGCAGGGGUCGGAGGUUCAAAUCCUCUCGCUCCGACCA